rnacentral:rRNA from 1 species
UACAGAGGGGGCAAGCGUUGUUCGGAAUUACUGGGCGUAAAGGGCGCGUAGGCGGCCUUCUAAGUCGAACGUGAAAUCUCCGGGCUCAACCCGGGAACUGCGUCCGAUACUGGAAGGCUUGAAUCCGGGAGAGGGAUGCGGAAUUCCAGGUGUAGCGGUGAAAUGCGUAGAUAUCUGGAGGAACACCGGUGGCGAAGGCGGCAGCCUGGACCGGCAUUGACGCUGAGGCGCGAAAGCCAGGGGAGCAAACGGG